rnacentral:rRNA from 1 species
GAUGAACGCUGGCGGCAUGCCUAAGACAUGCAAGUCGAACGAGGUGGCCCAUUGAAGUUGGAGUGCUUGCACAAAAAUGGAUUUGGAUUUUCCACCUAGUGGCAAACGGGUGAGUAACACGUGGGUUACCUGCCCUUAAGUUGGGGAUAACAGUUGGAAACGAUUGCUAAUACCGAAUGUGCUCUACGGAGUAAAGAAGCCCUUAAAGCUUCGCUUAAGGAUGGGCCUGCGGCGCAUUAGCUUGUUGGUGGGGUAAUGGCCUACCAAGGCAACGAUGCGUAGCCGAACUGAGAGGUUGAUCGGCCACACUGGGACUGAGACACGGCCCAG